GUUAAAAAGCUCGUAGUUGGAUUUCGGAGUGAGCUAGUUGGUCCGCCGCAAGGUGUGUUACUGACUAGUUUGCUCUUCUUCGCAAAGACUGCGUGUGCUCUUGAGUGAGUGUGCGUAGGAUUUACGACGUUUACUUUGAAAAAAUUAGAGUGUUCAAAGCAGGCUAUUGCUUGAGUACAUGAGCAUGGAAUAAUGGAAUAGGACUUUGGUCCCAUUUUGUUGGUUUCUAGGACCGAAGUAAUGAUUAAGAGGGACAAUUGGGGGCAUCCGUAUUUCGUUGUCAGAGGUGAAAUUCUUGGAUUUACGAAAGACGAACAACUGCGAAAGCACUUGCCAAGAGUGUUUUCAUUAAUCAAGAACGAAAGUUAGAGGAUCGAAGACGAUCAGAUACCGUCCUAGUUCUAACCAUAAACGAUGUCGACUAGGGAUCAGCGGGCGUUAUCGUACGACCCCGUUGGCACCUUACGGGAAACCAAAGUUUCUGGAUUCCGGGGGAAGUAUGGUUGCAAAGCCGAAACUUAAAGGAAUUGACGGAAGGGCACCACCAGGAGUGGAGCCUGUGGCUCAAUUUGACUCAACACGGGAAAACUUACCAGGUCCAGACAUAGUAAGGAUUGACAGGUUGAGAGCCCUUUCUUGAUUCUA
rnacentral:rRNA from 1 species